AGCAUUCACUCAGGAUGUGGGCAACUCUGCCUGAGAGGAACAAGGACUUGGACUUGGGUCUCCUCACCCCCAAGAAUCUCCUUGUCCACCUCCCCAAAAUGCUAUUCCAAGGAGUCCAUAGCAUUGCUCUGAAUGAACACAACCAUUGUACCUUCUAAAAGAAGAUGCUUUCAAGGCACUCCUUCUGCUCAUAUGUAACUUCUUAGGUGCAGCUGUAUCUAUCACCAGUGAAAAAUUUAAGCGGAGGUGAAAAUGAUGGAGAGUGCCCAGGAGGAUGGCUCAGCAACAAUAGACAGAUGUUCCAUUUGUGAGAGUCCCAGUGCUCACGGGUGGAUUAAGACUUCCACCUGAGCUGUUAUUUGAUUACCCCAAAACAAGAAA